GGAAAUAUUAGGAGUCCAAAGUUGGCUGUUUAAUGUUUUUGGCAGUACCCAAGACUCGGAGCGAGGUAGGAGGCUUAAAAUUACUGCAAAUAAUUCACAAUUAUCUAAUGCUACAUUACCCUCCGCAGCAGUCUGUCUCCAAUCUCCGUUCCUGUUUCUUUUGUCUAAUGUUACAUCACAGAGGAUGCUUAAUUGCUCUAAUAUUACCUGUUACUUGUCUGAGUGUUGGAAUGGAUCCUGGCCUAUGGCAGUGGUUAUGAAAAUUCCAACCUUUGUCCCGAUCCCGGUUACUGCAGAUCCAGAAUCCUUUCCUAUUGUUGAACUGAUUAGAGCCUGUAGAGAUUUUGGAAUUACGGCAGCUAUAGUGACAGCUGUGGCAGUGUCUGCUGCUGCAGCAGUUACAGCUGGAGUAGCCAUGGCCAGCCAGGUUCAAACUGCUGCCACUAUUAAUCAGGUUAUUCAACAAACAUCCACCAUACUUGAAUCUCAAAGUAGAAUUAAUCAACACAUUUUAUCUGGGAUUCUGGCUGCUAAUCAAAGGAUAGAUCUGCUUCAAGCUCAAGUNGAU
rnacentral:lncRNA from 1 species